UGCGAGGUAGAGCAGUCGCUUGGCUCGUUAGGCUCAUAACCUAAAGGUCGCGGGUUCAAGUCCCGCCUUCGCAA
rnacentral:tRNA from 1 species